UACGUAGGGGGCUAGCGUUGUCCGGAAUCAUUGGGCGUAAAGAGCGUGUAGGCGGCCCGGUAAGUCCGCUGUGAAAGUCGGGGGCUCAACCCUCGGAUGCCGGUGGAUACUGUCGGGCUAGAGUACGGAAGAGGCGAGUGGAAUUCCUGGUGUAGCGGUGAAAUGCGCAGAUAUCAGGAAGAACACCCGUGGCGAAGGCGGCUCUCUGGGACGGUACUGACGCUGAGACGCGAAAGCGUGGGGAGCAAACAGG
rnacentral:rRNA from 1 species